CAGGAGAAAUCAAACAAACAAUAUCAACAUUCAUGACACAAAAUCUGAAGGUCAGAGGAAAAGUAAAGUUUGAAGUGUGACCUUUCAGGUGAAGACGUUCGAAUCGAACGGAGUUCAGCAACCCCAAAGAAAACAAACGGAUCCAACGGAUUCAGCGAGCAUGCGCUGUAACAGGACUCGAUCUCAACAGGAAUGUUAAACCAAAUGUAAUUACAAACUUGAAACUCAGUCGAUAAACUCAAACAAACUCUCCACGAGCUAAGGAGAACUACACUUAUCAUUUCUUAUAUCAAUCAAUAAAGCAACAUACACGAUAAUAAAUUUGAACCGAGUGUGGAUAACUGCUAAUGCAGCCGCAGUAAAUGGAUGUCUGCUCAAGUAUGCCGUGACAUUUAGCAAGUAGCAAUUUUAACACACAGCGGCUCGCAACAAACUUGAAAAUCUCCCGGUAUAACAUAUAUCAAAGUCCUCACAAGCAGAAGCGAAAUUUCGAAACUGUAUAUGUUUCAUUUCUCAAAUCAGAAAAGCGACGAUAACAAGCCUCAUUUACCACAUAAACGUAAAUCCAAUUUAUAACAACUAACUUUGAGGUCUAUUGAAAGAAUAAAAGAUAAAUCAACACAAAACAUGAACCUGAAUAUUCAACAAGCUUGAAGCAUUUUAAUUGAAGAUUAAAGGAACUAAAGGUUCUUACCCGAUGAACAAGCGAACAAACUAUCGACGAAACCUCAAACCGGAAAGCUCGACUCAGAUGAAACUAUGUCGUUUUAAUGAAAAAUCCCCGAAAGAUGUAACAUCUAGCCGGAUCUGUCGCCGGAGCGUUCAGCAGUGAAACAAAGUGGGAAAAGCAAGGGAUGAGGUCGUUGUGGUCGUAGCUGGUCAUCGGCGAUUCCAAGAGACAACGAGAGAUUUCUGGGUGAGCAACCACUCUCUUUUCUGUAUAUGGCUGUGGGCAUGUGUAGAGAAGAUGGCUGGUUCUCGACGUCCGUCGAAGAAGAUGACGACGUGAAGGGGUGUUGUCUUUGUGUUGUGCAGCUUGGUCGGCGUUUGGAGGUGGGGUGCUACGGGGAAGAUGAUGUGCAGGGGGUGGGGUUGUUUGUUUUCAUGCAGAUUUUCCCAGCUCCUCUUUCGUUUUUUUUUGUUUUUGUGCAGCCUUCAGCUGCGUUCUUUCCCAGCUUCUCUCUUCGUUUCUUUAUUUUAUGCGAAGCUGCGUUCCUUCCCCAGCAC
rnacentral:lncRNA from 1 species